CUUUGGGAUAACCCUCGGAAACGGGGGCUAAUACCGGAUAUGACCUGGCUCCGCAUGGGGUUGGGUGGAAAGUUUUUCGGCCUGGGAUGGGCUCGCGGCCUAUCAGCUUGUUGGUGGGGUGAUGGCCUACCAAGGCGACGACGGGUAGCCGGCCUGAGAGGGCGACCGGCCGCACUGGGACUGAGACACGGCCCAGACUCCUACGGGAGGCAGCAGUGGGGAAUAUUGCACAAUGGGCGGAAGCCUGAUGCAGCGACGCCGCGUGAGGGAUGACGGCCUUCGGGUUGUAAACCUCUUUCAGCAGGGACGAAGCGCAAGUGACGGUACCUGCAGAAGAAGCGCCGGCCAACUACGUGCCAGCAGCCGCGGUAAGACGUAGGGCGCGAGCGUUGUCCGGAUUUAUUGGGCGUAAAGAGCUCGUAGGCGGCUUGUCGCGUCGACCGUGAAAACUUGGGGCUCAACCCCAAGCCUGCGGUCGAUACGGGCAGGCUAGAGUUCGGUAGGAGAGACUGGAAUUCCUGGUGUAGCGGUGAAAUGCGCAGAUAUCAGGAGGAACACCGGUGGCGAAGGCGGGUCUCUGGGCCGAUACUGACGCUGAGGAGCGAAAGCGUGGGGAGCGAACAGGAUUAGAUACCCUGGUAGUCCACGCUGUAAACGUUGGGCGC
rnacentral:rRNA from 1 species